UACAGAGGGUGCGAGCGUUAAUCGGAAUUAUUGGGCGUAAAGCGCGCGCAGGCGGUCCUUUAAGUCUGAUGUGAAAGCCCACGGCUCAACCGUGGAGGGUCAUUGGAAACUGGAGGACUUGAGUACUGAAGAGGAAAGUGGAAUUCCACGUGUAGCGGUGAAAUGCGUAGAGAUGUGGAGGAACACCAGUGGCGAAGGCGACUUUCUGGUCAGUAACUGACGCUGAGGCGCGAAAGCGUGGGGAGCAAACAGG
rnacentral:rRNA from 1 species